rnacentral:lncRNA from 1 species
AUGAGCUGUUCGCAUCGACUGCUAAUAAUGGCGGGGCAGCGCCAGUGCGGCUCAGCGCUACGGCUGCAAGGCUGGGGGCCCUGGCGUCUGGGCUCAGCCGGGGACAGUUUUCACGCGAGGCAGAGCCUGGCUGGAGGUCGCAGGGCGGUGGAGAGCGAGGGCAUGAGGGAGGGUGCUGGGAACCGCGCAGUGUCGGUGGCCAAGCAUCCCUCCGACGCAACCCCAGGGGAAGAGGGCAGGACCCUGGACCCCGCCCGGGGCUGCGCGUGCCUAAGCUUGGGGGACAUGCAGAAGGGCACCAAACCCGCCCCAGUGCAGAGUUCUACUUUGUUCGGUGACUUCGCACGCUCGUUGGAGGGAGCUGAGGGUGCCCCAGUGCACCUGCGCUGAGGUUUUAGUAGCUGGCCCCACCUGCGUCUCAGGUGAGCCGCUGCAGGAAGGGCCCUCCCAGGCAUCCCUCGGUUCCUGCUAGCAGGAGUGAGGCCCUCCGGAGCCUGCGGAGGUGACCCCUACGCCCUGGCUCAUGGGCGGCAAAGGAAAAUGUGUGCUGUCCCUUUAAGCCCCCGGCCACCGCCACCUCCCGGCCCCAUCCCCCUUCAAUUUAAUUUCAUUAAAACAGAGCAUGAAUAUUUCUAUUAAACCUAAAAUGAAAUAUGAAGCCAUUUAGACUCUGCCUGCACCAAUCACCCAGAUUUAUGACUUUUAUUCAUCACAUCAAGAGCUUGGAAAAAUGAAUUUUCUUCACCCAGGAAGGAAAUAAAACCUCAGGCUUGGUCAUUUCCAGAAAGCUGUUAAUUUGACCAUGUGGUAAUUACUUUCACAAUUAACUAAAAUACAAAUCAACUUGACAAAUUGGGCUAGUUUAUAUAUUAAUUAGCCCCCUUAAAUUUAUUCAUUAUGAAAAGACAAUUUAAGGGGACCUGUGGUGUCUGUUUUAUUGCAAUAAAUUAUUGUUAGGAAAUGGGUUUAAUAAAAUAUCUUAAUAUUUAAGGAUAUUGUAUACGCGGGGGGUAUGCUUUAUUGACAAUUUCAUUUUCCAAUUAGUAAUUUUGUUGUAAUAUAUCUGCGAACCGGGGACUCCCGGGCGGGGAGGCAGGAUUCUCCCGGCUGGGGCGGUCUGAGUAGCUGGGUCUGAGGCUCGGGCUAAGAAGAGCAAAUUCUGUGGAAAGGGCCGCGUCCGACCGGCGCAAACGUUCGGUUCGUAGCAGGAACCACUCCAGGCGGCCACCGAACCCCCGGCCCAGGACUCGGCACUCCUGGAGCCCUCCUCCCCACGCAGGCCUCGGGGGCUGAUUUAAUAGAAUGUCGAUAGAAUCAUUCGAUGCCUUUUAGCUUGUGAUCUUUAUAAAUGUCCCUCUAUUAAAUUAGAAAAUGAUUCUCUUCUCGUUUAAUUGUAUUCUUUCGUUUCUUAUUUCCAAUUAAUUAGUCCUAUCGACGUUGCAAUAUUUUAAGUGACUUGAGUCCGUUUCCAGUUAGAAUAUAUGGGUCAGCACAUGC